rnacentral:tRNA from 1 species
GGUUAAAAAGUGUUUAACACGUCAAGUUGUAAACUUGAAAUUACUUGUAAGUUUUAUCCA